CUAGAAAUGCCAGAUUUAAUGGGUGGAUUUUAAGCGUCUAAUAUAUUAUUUAUUUUUAUAUAGUUUUCUAGG
rnacentral:tRNA from 1 species